GGCAUAAGAAAAUAAAAGGUUCUUACUUAUUUUGUAAAGUUCCAUUUAGGCAUAGACACUUGUCUCUAACCCCACGGGGGGGUCUCUUCCUAUAUAAAGGUAUAUACAUAUGUGCCGCUGGAAUGGGUCCCUUUUUUGAUCCGUCAAAUAUAUCAAUGGGGUGCAAUUUUACCGAGGAAAUAUAUCAAUAGGUAGUAAUUGACCGAUUGUGAUAUAUCAAUGGGUCAAAAAUAUAUGAAUGGGUUAUGAUUUCGCUUUGAAAUAUAUGUAUAGGUCAUGUAGGUAGGGAUUUCACAAUUAUUCAAUAUAUGAAUGGGGGGUGUUUUUAAAAUCCCAGCUGCACACCUGUACCCAAAAUCCCAUGUUGAGACCCCCCCG
rnacentral:lncRNA from 1 species